AAAAAGGGCGUCUGCCAUGAUUGGCACAGUUGUGUGUGGGUUUUUCUGAUACAGCUGCGGAAUCGCUAUCAAGAGAUUUCGAAUGCACAAUUUUUAAAAUUCGGGAUUGCCGAUGAUUGUUGUGCUUGGCGCCCUG
rnacentral:snRNA from 1 species